rnacentral:rRNA from 1 species
AUUGAACGCUGGCGGCAGGCCUAACACAUGCAAGUCGAACGAGUGGCGGACGGGUGAGUAAUGUCUGGGAAACUGCCCGAUGGAGGGGGAUAACUACUGGAAAAGGUAGCUAAUACCGCAUACCAUCGGAUGUGCCCAGAAGGGAAUGGCUAGUAGGUGGGGUAACGGCUCACCUAGGCGACGAUCCCUAGCUGGUCUGAGAGGAUGACCAGCAACACUGGACCUGAGACACGGUCCAGACUCCUACGGGGGGCAGCUGUGGGGAAUAUUGGACAAUGGGCACAAGCCUGAUGCGGCCAUGCCGCGUGUAUGAAGAAGGCCUUCGGGUUUUAAAGUACUUUCAGCGAGUAGGCGUUACUCGCAGAGAAAGCACCGGCUAACUCCGUGCCAGCAGCCGCGGUAAUAC